UACAGAGGGUGCAAGCGUUGUUCGGAAUUACUGGGCGUAAAGCGUGCGUAGUCGGUAUUGAGAGUCGCGGGUGAAAUCCCAGGGCUUAACCCUGGAACUGCCUGCGAGACCUCAGUACUAGAGUGUGAGAGGGGAUAGUGGAAUACCCAGUGUAGCGGUGAAAUGCGUAGAGAUUGGGUGGAACACCGGUGGCGAAGGCGGCUAUCUGGCCUGUUCUUGACGCUGAGGCGCGAAAGCUAGGGGAGCAAACGGG
rnacentral:rRNA from 1 species